AGUGAACGCUGGCGGCGUGCCUAAUACAUGCAAGUCGAACGGAAUUUAAAAGAGCUUGCUCUUUUAAAUUUAGUGGCGCACGGGUGAGUAAUAUAUAGCUAAUCUGCCCCUUGCUGGAGGACAACAGUUAGAAAUGACUGCUAAUACUCCAUACUCCUUUUUACCAUAAGAUAAAUCGGGAAAGAAUUUCGGCAAGGGAUGAGACUAUAUCGUAUCAGCUAGUCGGUGGGGUAACGGCCUACCGAGGCUAUGACGCGUAACUGGUCUGAGAGGAUGAUCAGUCACAUUGGAACUGAGACACGGUCCAAACUCCUACGGGAGGCAGCAGUAGGGAAUAUUGCGCAAUGGGGGAAACCCUGACGCAGCAACGCCGCGUGGAGGAUGACACUUUUCGGAGCGUAAACUCCUUUUGUUAGGGAAGAAUAAUGACGUACCUAACGAU
rnacentral:rRNA from 1 species